CAAGACAAGACAAGACAAGACAAGACAAGACAAGACUUGCAAGUAGUCAAGCAAUGGAGACACCAGAUAAAUUCCUGUAUAAAUACAAAGGAUUCUAUUUCAUAACAGACCUGGUCUCACCUGAAACUAUAGAUUCACUGGACAGUUUUGAAAUCCGAGAUGAUGAUGUAUGCAUAAUCACAUAUCCUAAA